GCAGUCGUGGCCGAGUGUCUAAGGCGAUGGACUAAAAAUCCAUUGUGGUCUCCCCGCACAGGUUCGAAUCCUGUUGACAGCG
rnacentral:tRNA from 1 species